rnacentral:misc_RNA from 1 species
GAUGAAGAACGUAGCGAAAUGCGAUAAGUAAUGUGAAUUGCAGAAUUCAGUGAAUCAUCGAGUCUUUGAACGCACAUUGCGCCCCCUGGUAUUCCGGGGGGCAUGCCUGUGCGAGCGUCAUUGCUGCCCUCAAGCACGGCUUGUGUGUUGGGCCCCCGUCCCCGGUUUCCCCCGGGGACGGGCCCGAAAGGCAGCGGCGGCACCGCGUCCGGUCCUCGAGCGUAUGGGGCUUUGUCACCCGCUCUGUAGGCCCGGCCGGCGCCAGCCGACACCCAACUUUAUUUCUAAGGUUGACCUCGGAUCAGGUAGGGAUACCCGCUGAACUUAAGCAUAUCAAUAAGCGGAGGA